UUGGUGGCUGUUCCACACAUUUUGGUAGCUUCUGUGUGUACUCAUCUGUGUAUAUGCUGGGCGGCCUUUUGUUGCUCAGGGAAAUGGAAAAUCAUCCCAGCAGAAAAAAAAGCAUUCUCUUUUGUGGGUCCUCUAUGAAGACACCAGUACUUUCUAUAGCUGGUAUUUGUGAAGUUGCAGGAUCUUCAUGUCUUGGACACAUCCAGCACUCAUGACUGCUGUUUGCUGGUGGACUCAAAAGGAUAUCCCAGCCUCUGGAUAUCCUGGCUCAAGACAUCCUGGCAUUUGUUGCUCUCCAGUGGAAACUGCUUGCAUCCUUGACUUCGGUAGAGGGUUCCACCUAUGGGAGACAAACCUUCACCACCGUGGGUUCUUCCCACAGGCUGCAGUGCUUCAAGAAGUUCUCUAGCAUGGAGCAUCUAGAUGUCCUGUUCUUUGGGAAUGGGCUGCUCCAGUGUGGCCGGUCCCCUAUGGGCCACAAGUCCUGCCAGAAUGGUCUCUGAGCAGUCUUUAGAAACUGUGCUGGGAGAGGUGUUGCAGCCGUGCACCCUUCUGGCUCCCUGCCAUUGGUGGGAAAAAGCUGCCUGGAAGGGCAAAUAAGUUGUAUCCAACACUUCAGAUCGGUUCAGUUGUGGCAUUUAUAGUGAUAUAAAAAGAUGCCCCUUGAACAGAUGAGGACAUAAAAUUCAGGAACUUUAAGCAAGACAAUUUCAGCAGCUAAGUGUAUCCAUGUCAGAGAUUUAAAAUGAAUGGGCAGAGAAAAUAAAUACCAAAAAACUUCUACAUGUGGAAGAGAGGAGGUAUCUCACCUCUCAGACAAACCUCAUUUGAAAACUAUUUAGUAGAGUUGCAUCCUAAAAGAGGAGAACUGAAGUUGAAAUGGAGCAAGGAGUGCAGAGCAUUAACAUUUCUCUCUUAUUGAACAAACAUAUAAAUAAACUACAUUCUGACAGAUUGGUUUAUAGCAGUGGAUUUAGAGGAAAAGGAAAAGGAGAGAAUCAUGACAAAACAUUUAUUUUACAUUUACUUUGCAAAAUGAGAAAACUAUGUAGCAGUUUAAUAAAACAUAGUUCCCAUUAUAAUUAACUUUUCUUCAUUUGCAUUACAAUACAGUGCAGCUUGAACGCUCUGCAUAUAUCCUAAAGAUUUCAUGAGAAGAUCAGCUUUUAAUCAGCUAAGGUAUAAAGCUCUACAGUUACACUGAACCAAAGUUCCAUUGCCAAGACCACUCAGUGGAAGUUUUCUGAAUGUCAUUCCUAUUACUCAUUCAUUAAAAAUCAUUGGUUUUCAUUAGAAGCAGGAUUGAGCAAAGCACUUCAAAAACCAGAAACCUGAUGAUUCAAUCUGAGGGAUCAAAGUAUCAGAAUUUCUUGAGCUUUGCUUGCAUUAUCUCAACAAAAGUUGAGUGUGUCAGUUUAGUUUAGAAAACCAAUACUUUUUUAUUUUCUUUUUUCAAACAAAGAAGAAAUAUUGGUGGUUAAAUUCUGGGUGUUUGAUCUUAUGAAGACUCUCUGCAAAUAAAAUAAUAGGAGCAAGACAACU